UUAUUCCAUCCCAGCGGCAGGACUUUGCACUUGCUUUUGCUGAACUUCUUGAGGUUCCUGCCAGUCAGAUUCACUGGCCUGUCCAGGUUCUUCUGAAGACCAGCCCUGCCCUCCAGCAUACUGACUGUUCCCCUCAAUUUCAGGUUGUCUGCAAACUUGCUGAGAGUGCACUCCAUGCUCUCAUCCUGAUUUUACCUUUGAUCCAUGCUGCCUGCUCUGAACCGUCUUGUUGUUCUUCGUGUAUUUAUCUCCUAAGACAAUUUGCUCUGUAUCCCACAUAGGGACUGAGGUGUGGCUGAUCAGCCUGUAACUACGUGGAUCCUCCUUCUUGUCCUUCUUCAAGAUGGGUGUGACAUUGGCUAUUUUUCCACUCAUCAGGAACCUCCCCAUUUGCCAUGAUCUUUUGAAGAUGAUAGAGAGGAGACUCAUCAUCAUCAUGCCAUCAUCAGUGGUCACUUCAGCAACCUCAGACACCUCCCAGCUGCUCCUAUGGACUUGUGGAUGGAAAAUAUUUCCCAUCAUGGGAAAGGGAGGUAAACUUUAAUACCCUUGAGGUCAAGGUGGAACAUCUGAGUGGAGGAACUGAAUUGUCUCUAUCAUGAAGAAGAGUCUCCAAAUAAAUUACUGAUAUUAAAAACUGGAUCUACAGUGAAGACAGUUUUACACACUGAAGGCAAACUUAAAAAUGCUAUUCUGCUGAUUUUGAGUGACAGUUUAUAAAAUCUUCCUGCUUGAUACAACUCAUUGACCUUUAACAUGAUUUUAUUCUACUUCUGUACCUAUAAUCAUGAUAUAUCUAGGGAACAGUAGACUUUUUUCAAUCAGUUUUACUACCGCAAAGCUCUACAACAAAGUAACAAAACUCCAGGGAAUCUGCUGUGGUCUCGAAUGAUUCCUCCUAUCAUCAUCUGUUUCCUUUGUCAAUAUUUUUGUGCUAUAUUAACUUCACUCAGAUUUUUGUAUUUGAUGUUGGCUCUCUCAAAUGUUAAAAAUAGCUUUAGGAAUUUUAAUCUUCAGUGUUUGGUUGUAUGCAUCCCAAUUCAUGUAAUUUACAUAAGCCCACACACGUAUUUAGAAAUCAUAUAUAAUUUGUUACUCAUGCUAGGUAUGAAGUUACAUGUAUAUCUUGUUACAGUGUUCUCAUUCAUAUUAUUCAUAACAGCAUUAAACACUCAUAUGCUUUUGGGUAUACUAGGAGCUAUCUCAUCAAGCUAAUUGUUAGGCAUUUGAGAUAAAAUUCUGUCUCCAUGUCCUGAAGCUCCAAUUUUUAAUUCAAAAUUAUGCCAGACAUUGUUUACAUUCAUCUACUGCUUUUGAAAGUGAGAGUAGAUUGGCUAUAACAAAGACAUUAGAGGAAAAGCUGGAGUGCAGAGUGCUGCUUCUCUCACUCACCAUGACUUUUUGCAGCUGAUGAUUUUGGGAGUGGAAGGUUAUGGAGAAAGGGACUGGUAAUAUUUGUGCAGAAAUCAGUGCUUGGUACAGAUGGAAAGAAUAUGUUUGAAUACAAUGUUCCAAAGUACUUACAGGACUGAGUACAAUAUGUUGAGUUCAUACACUAAUUUGGAAGGUAUGCCCCUCGGGAUAAAUAUGGGUAUAUCCUAUUGCUAUAGUUAGCAGUAAUUAUAUUUUUAUUUCUAAUAGAGAAAUAAUAUCCACAUUCUUGUAUUUGAAAUAUAAACCAAUAACUUCAGAAUGUAAAAGUCAACUCUGAUAUGAAAAUAAAAAGAGCUAUUGAUUUUCUCUUGCAA